rnacentral:rRNA from 1 species
AGUGCGUAAUAGCUCACUAGUCGAGAGGUCCUGCGCCGAAAAUGUCCGGGGCUGAAACACACCACCGAAGCUCAGGAAUGUCGUAGACAUUGGUAGAGGAGCAUUGCAUACAGGGCGAAGCAGUACCGGAAGGAGCUGUGGACUGUAUGGAAGAGAGAAUGCCGGAAUGAGUAGCGAGAGGAAGGUGGGAAUCCUUCCGG